UCACUUUUCAUUCAGCGACAAACCCCUAUAUCGGUCGUGCCGGGUUCGCCCGGCUAUGGCGAUAAACGAGGCCGCGCAAUAAGCGCAGCGGACCCGGGGGCGGUACCCGGCGGCUCCACCAAAUGCCCUGCUCCGGCAGGGUAACUGACGGGGCCGAACUAGGAUCGACGUGUGUUAAAAUCGGUUGUCGUCGCCCGACCUGAAUGAGUCGUAAAACCGUUCAAAACGACAAGUGCCAACGAUAACGAGGCGCUCGCGAUUGCUGCCUAACUGAAUCCUUCGUGGAUGAAGUUAGUUCGGCUUUAGCGCGGUAGGGACCACACCGGGCAACAGAAGUGGAAACCAGCGGCCGAGGGGUGCCGGGCAACAGAAACCCCUCACU
rnacentral:tmRNA from 1 species